GGCCGCACUGAAAAAAAGUUUUUAAAAGCGUAUGCAUGUUUAAAAAUGUUAAAUAGUUAAACAACACUUGCGGUGAAAAUAUGAAGUGUUUAUUCUGAGUUGAAAAGACCGUACUUAUAUCUAGUAUUCUUAAUGUAAUUUAAAUAAUGUCUUCCUUUACUAACUGCAUAUGACUUUGCUCUACUUAUAUUGUUUAAUACGUACUGAUGAAUUCAGCAGCGAAUUGGCUAAUGCUGCUAAUGAUUUUACUUUUUUUUUCACAAUGAACAGUCUUCUUUGUGUAGUUUUCAUUAUAUUGCACUCUUAUUUUUCAUUAUGUACAUGCCUGCAAUUCGCAGCUCGCUGUUUUUGUUGUUGUAUGGUAUUGUUGUUUUGCCUUCAUUUGUUUUGUCUGGUCCUUUGUAGUUUGAAUGUUGUCACAUGAUCCAAAUAGGACAAGGUUGUAAUUUUUUCUUCAUAUUGUUACUCUGCUUAGCUAUAUAUUUUUUCAUCAUUAUUAUUAUUAUUUUUUACUAGCUCCUUGAUCACCACCCCAUUGGGAAGAAACUAAAUCACGACCCCCAAAUGGUAGUCUUCCCAUGCAGAUACAGGGAUGUCACACAGAUCCAAAUGGAAACAUCGAACACUGUAAAACCCACUGUGCAGACAGGACCAAUGGUGACAAUAUAAGACCAUGCCGAGCUUCAUGGACGGUUCAAACUCAUCCUGCCCAGGAACGGCUGAAAACGUUUACAGUCAAUCAACAGGGGAACAUGGAAAGAGAGGAUUGGAAGUGAAAUAGAGGUAUUUGGAAAACCAUAGGGGAAGGACUGUGGCAUCUUCAUGUUGAUGGUAGACUGAUAUGCCAACUCUGAGGAAGUGGUGGUGUAUAUUGCUAGCGGACAAUUUCAAACUUGGGUGCAUGCCACAGGAAAGAGUUUGCCCUAUGGACAGAUGAGGCAAAAGCAUUACUGCAGGGUUAAGUGCCACCAGUCUAUCAGUUACAGAGGUGAAAUUUGAAUAUAAUUGCUGAGGAAGAGGUGCAACCACAGCUCCUUCAAGUUAGUGGUGGCCCACUCCAAAAAGAUAUGGCGGGAAAAAAUGUUUUGCUAAAAGGAUUGUGCAAGACAGCACAAAAGCCUCGGACAGGGCUGGGGGUGUGGAAUCAAUGCAGUAGGAGUUCCCAAGUAUCCUGCAGAUGGAAGAGGAUGAGCACGAACUACAAUGUCUUGGAGCCAUUCAAGUUCUGUUUCAACCAUCUGGAAGAUGGAUUUACCUUUUUUGAGGAGAUUGUUGACUAAAGAAAAUAUCUGGUGUUCUCUCAAUAAUAAUAAAAAAUAAUAAAACUAAAAAAAUAAAGUUUACCACAUUAGAACUGGUUGUAUUGAGUUCAUUUU